UACGUAGGGGGCAAGCGUUGUCCGGAUUUAUUGGGCGUAAAGAGCGUGUAGGCGGUCUGGUAGGUCCGUUGUGAAAACUCGAGGCUCAACCUCGAGACGCCGAUGGAAACCAUCAGACUAGAGUCCGGAAGAGGAGAGUGGAAUUCCGGGUGUAGCGGUGGAAUGCGUAGAGAUCCGGAAGAACACCGGUGGCGAAGGCGGUCUGCUGGGCAGUUGCUGACACUGAGGCGCGACAGCGUGGGGAGCAAACAGG
rnacentral:rRNA from 1 species